UUUCCUUAUACAUACAACCAGCUACAAUCAAAGCCAGGCUCUGCAAGGCUAGAUUCCCAGGGAGGGACAGCAUCCGCAGCCUGUGACCCCGGAGAGCCAGUGUCUGCAGUCUGUGUGGGCAGCCCCUUCGUGGAGAAACCCGCUGACGUCCUCUGUCGCCUGCUAGCAGACGUGACUUCAUGCGCUCCAGCCUUCCGGGCAGGGCCGAGGCGACUGCUCCCCGCUCUGAGUUCCUGGAAGAAAGACCCCUGCAGUGUCUGAACCCUGCCUCCACCACCCCUAAGGAGCAGCCCCAGUGACAGGCUGUAAUAGGAAGGCAGAGGGGCAUGUUGGUGGGACUUGGAAGACACUGGGGCUUCUCCCAAGAGCUCGCUGAAGAAGACGACGUGCAGAGGGUCUGGAAGCACUAAGUCACCCAGCCUCUCUUGCUGCCAGCUCCACUCUUCCCAGGCUUUCCUUUCUCUAUCUGAGCAGCCAGUGGACACAACACCUGAGGUCAGCCUCCAGGUCUUGGCCUGAACUCAGAGGUCGUGGAGAAGAGGCGACGGGCACAGUCAGUCUGACAACCCUGGCUGCCUGUCCUCAUUUCCAACUCCCCUCAGGGGAUCGUGAAGCCUCUCCACGCUGGUCUCUGGCUGUGAAGUCACCUCUGGAUCUUUAUCACAAAAAGAGACUUAUUUCCCACCACCAAGCAGCUGAAGCCAAGGGUCCCAGAAAGGAGCAAAAGACUCCCACUGUCUUAAUGGGACUGGCCUGAAAUUACUACUGAAUUCAGAACAGGGGGAGACAUCAACAUUCACCCUGAACAUCAGUUUUUAAGUGGUUGAGAAGAGUGAGGGUCAGAAGACUCCCCUAAAAGAACAUCCUGAAGAGUUGGCCAUAACUGCCACAGGCAAGGGAGAGAUGGUAACUGUCUGCUGUGUACUUGCCAACCCUGAUUCAGAGUCGUGUAUAAAGCUCUCCCUAACUUGGUCUAUCUGAAACCUCCCUGUCCUCCAAGGUCCCAGUCAAGCACCCCUCCACCUUGAGGCUUGUCCUGCCAGCUCCAUUUCCCAAUUCAGUGGUCACGUUCAUCCCGCUCAUUAGAACUUAACAUGUGCUCAUGA